rnacentral:rRNA from 1 species
UCUUAUGUACAUGCCUACCACGUUAAUGCAACAUAUCCCAUUAGAAAUCCACAUUUGAGUGUGCUUGGGCUAGAGUAGUACUAGGAUGGGUGACCUCUCACUAAUCCCUAGUGUUUUAUUAGGA